rnacentral:lncRNA from 11 species
GCAGCUUCUAAAUGAAGUGAAUUCCUUCUUCUGUCUGGUAGAACUCAUGGAUAUUUGAGGAUAUUGAAGUCUCUUCUUGCUGCCGCUCUUGAGUUCUGCUGGGAAUCGGAGGGUAAUGAGGAGGCUCUUCAAACAGCAGGCGCU